rnacentral:rRNA from 1 species
AAAAAACAUGUUCUUCUGUAUAAUAAUUUAAGAUUUGACCUGCCCACUGAUAAUAAAUUGAAGGGCCGCGGUAUUUUGACCGUGCAAAGGUAGCAUAAUCAUUAGUCCUUUAAUUGUGGACUGGAAUGAAUGGUUUGACGAGGUAUUUACUGUCUCAUUUUAAUAAUUUGAAUUUAACUUUUAAGUCAAAAGGCUUAAAUGAUUUUAUAGGACGAGAAGACCCUAUAGAGCUUGAUAAUUAUUAAUUAUAAUAUAUUUUUGGUUAAUUAUUUUUAUUAUAAUUAUGAUUAUUUUAUUGGGGUGAUAUAAAGAAUUAUAAAACUCUUUAUUUUUUAAAACAUUAAUUUAUGAUUAAUUGAUCCAUUAUUAAUGAUUAUAAGAUUAAGUUACCUUAGGGAUAACAGCGUUAUUUUUUUUGAGAGUUCUUAUCAACAAAAAAGAUUGCGACCUCGAUGUUGGAUUAAGGUAAAUAUUGGGUGUAGAAGUUCAAUAAAUGGGUCUGUUCGACCAUUAAAUCCUUACGUGAUCUGUUUUCAAGA